rnacentral:rRNA from 1 species
GGAGGAAAGCAGGGGAUCGCAAGACCUUGCGCUUUUGGAGCGGCCGAUGUCUGAUUAGCUUGUUGGUAAGGUAAAAGCUUACCAAGGCUUCGAUCAGUAGCUGGUCUGAGAGGACGACCAGCCACACUGGGACUGAGACACGGCCCAGACUCCUACGGGAGGCAGCAGUGGGGAAUUUUGGACAAUGGGGGCAACCCUGAUCCAGCCAUGCCGCGUGAGUGAAGAAGGCCUUCGGGUUGUAAAGCUCUUUCAGCCGGAACGAAACGGUUACGGUUAAUACCCGUGACUACUGACGGUACCGGAAGAAGAAGCACCGGCUAACUACGUGCCAGCAGUCGCGGUAAUACGUAGGGUGCGAGCGUUAAUCGGAAUUACUGGGCGUAAAGCGUGCGCAGGUGGUUUUGUAAGUCAGAUGUGAAAUCCCCGGGCUCAACCUGGGAACUGCGUUUGAAACUACAAAGCUAG